CAAUAAGCGGAGGAAAAGAAACUAACAAGGAUUCCCCUAGUAACGGCGAGUGAACCGGGAAGAGCUCAAAUUUGAAAUCUGGCGUGCUCAGUGCGUCCGAGUUGUAAUCUAUAGAGUCGUUUUCCGUGCCGGACUGUGUCCAAGUCCCUUGGAACAGGGUAUCAAAGAGGGUGAUAAUCCCGUACUUGACACAAUGACCGGUGCUCUGUGAUACGUCUUCUACGAGUCGAGUUGUUUGGGAAUGCAGCUCAAAAUGGGUGGUGAGUUCCAUCUAAAGCUAAAUAUUGGCGAGAGACCGAUAGCGAACAAGUACCGUGAGGGAAAGAUGAAAAGCACUUUGGAAAGAGAGUUAAACAGUACGUGAAAUUGUUAAAAGGGAAACGAUUGAAGUCAGUCGUGACUGAGAGGCUCAGCCGGUUCUGCCGGUGUAUUCCCCUCAGUCGGGUCAACAUCAGUUUUGUUCGGUGGAUAAGGGCAGUUGGAAGGUGGCACCCUCGGGUGUGUUAUAGCCAGCUGUCGCAUACAUCGGAUGAGACUGAGGAAUGCAGCUCGCCUUUAUGGCCGGGGUUCGCCCACGUUCGAGCUUAGGAUGUUGACAUAAUGGCUUUAAACGACCCGUCUUGAAACACGGACC
rnacentral:rRNA from 1 species